CCUACGGGAGGCUGCAGUGGGGAAUAUUGCACAAUGGGGGAAACCCUGAUGCAGCGACGCCGCGUGAGCGAAGAAGUAUUUCGGUAUGUAAAGCUCUAUCAGCAGGGAAGAAAAUGACGGUACCUGAGUAAGAAGCUCCGGCUAAAUACGUGCAAGCUGCCGCGGUAAUAAGUAGGGAGCAAGCGUUAUCCGGAUUUAGUGGGCGUAAAGGGAGCGUAGGCGGCCUGACAAGUCUGAUGGGAAAUACCGGGGCUCCACCCCGGGGAUGCAUUGGAAAUUGGGAGGCUGAAGUGCCGGAGAGGCAGGCGGAAGUCGUAGUGGAGCGGUGAAAUGCGGAGAUAUUAGGAGGAACACCAGUGGCGAAGGCGGCCUGCUGGACGGUGACUGACGCUGAGGCUCGAAAGCGUGGGGAGCAAACAGGAUUAGAUACCCGAGUAGUC
rnacentral:rRNA from 1 species